UGCGCGCACACACACACACACACACACACACACACAAAACAAUAUGACAAAAAAAAAAAAAAAACAUCAGGAGAGCAAAAGCUCAUCAAAUGGGCGGUUGUAAUGUCAGCUACAGUGCUAUUCUCUUUUGAGCCUCGUUUCUUUUGCAUAUAUUUGUUUACAUUUUUGGUGGCAUUAAAAUUAUGCCGAACUAGCUAUUAGCACUUCCUGUUUGCAGUGUACCCAUAGAUGUAAAUACAACUAUCACUGGAUUACUUUGAUACUGAAGAAAACUUAAAAACGUGAUGAUUCUCAGCCAAGUUCUGAAGCGUCUUUUUCUAUGAUUUCUAAGGAGACUUGGGGAAGUUUAUUCUCGAUGGACAUCAGAGGUAAUGACAUCCUCAGGAAGUGUGUAUGUGCUGUAUAUGUAAACAUGUACCUGUUUGAGGUCGGUGUGUUGAGGAAUCUCCAUCAGCUCCAUCUGUUGUUCCUGAGCCUGGACCAUGAACGCCUCCUUGAUGUCCUCUGUGGUGCAGCGGUCCAAUGGCACCGGGACGACCUGAACAACGACGAUACAACAACCAAAAACUAAAAACACGUGGUACAUCCCAACCCACCAAUAGGUUUCUUCUGUAGAACUGUUCCAGCAACAACCUGACAGAAGGAAGGCUGACUGUUUCUACCUGUAGUUGCAGGUGUUGGCUUUUGUAAUUCCUCUCGAACAGCACACAGCGCUCUCCUUUGCUCUUGUAGAAGC